CCUACGGGGGGCAGCAGUCGGGAAUAUUGCGCAAUGGAGGAAACUCUGACGCAGUGACGCCGCGUGCAGGAAGAAGGUUUUCGGAUUGUAAACUGCUUUAGACCGGGAAGAAAAAGGACAGUACCUGUAGAAUAAGCUCCGGCUAACUACGUGCCAGCAGCCGCGGUACUACGUAGGGAGCAAGCGUUAUCCGGAUUUAUUGGGUGUAAAGGGUGCGUAGACGGGAAAUUAAGUUAGUUGUGAAAUCCCUCGGCUCAACUGAGGAACUGCAGCUAAAACUGGUUGUCUUGAGUGCUGGAGAGGAAAGUGGAAUUCCUAGUGUAGCGGUGAAAUGCGUAGAUAUUAGGAGGAACACCAGUGGCGAAGGCGACUUUCUGGACAGUAACUGACGUUGAGGCACGAAAGUGUGGGGAGCAAACAGGAUUAGAUACCCCUGUAGUC
rnacentral:rRNA from 1 species